ensembl:snoRNA SNORD29 Small nucleolar RNA SNORD29
UCUCUAUGAUGAAGAACCUAAGCUCACUUUGAACCACUGUGAAAAUGUAUGAACACCUGAGAGAC